rnacentral:rRNA from 1 species
GACGAACGCUGGCGGCAUGCCUAAUACAUGCAAGUCGAGCGAACAGAUGAAGUGCUUGCACUUCUGACGUUAGCGGCGAACGGGUGAGUAACACGUAAGGAAUCUACCUAUAAGCGGGGGAUAACAUUCGGAAACGGGUGCUAAUACCGCAUAAUAUCCUCUUCCGCAUGGACGAAGAUUGAAAGACGGGCCUCCUGUUACUUAUAGAUGAACUUUGGGGGCAUUAGUUAGUUGGUGGGGUAACGGCCUACCAAGACGAUGAUGCAUAGCCGACCUGAGAGGGUGAUCGGCAACAUUGGGACUGAGACACGGCCCAAACUCCUACGGGAGGCAGCAGUAGGGAAUCUUCCGCAAUGGGCGAAAGCCUGACGGAGCAAUGCCGCGUGAGUGAAGAAGGCCUUCGGGUCGUAAAACUCUGUUAUAAGAGAAGAACAAAUUGUAGAGUAACUGCUACAGUCUUGACGGUAUCUUAUCAGAAAGCCACGGCUAACUACGUGCCAGCCGCCGCGGUAA